GCAACGCCGCGUGAGUGAUGAAGGUUUUCGGAUCGUAAAGUUCUGUUGUUAGGGAAGAACAAGUGCAAGAGUAACUGCUUGCACCUUGACGGUACCUAACCAGAAAGCCACGGCUAACUACGUGCCAGCAGCCGCGGUAAUACGUAGGUGGCAAGCGUUGUCCGGAAUUAUUGGGCGUAAAGGGCUCGCAGGCGGUUUCUUAAGUCUGAUGUGAAAGCCCCCGGCUCAACCGGGGAGGGUCAUUGGAAACUGGGAAACUUGAGUGCAGAAGAGGAGAGUGGAAUUCCACGUGUAGCGGUGAAAUGCGUAGAGAUGUGGAGGAACACCAGUGGCGAAGGCGACUCUCUGGUCUGUAACUGACGCUGAGGAGCGAAAGCGUGGGGAGCGAACAGGAUUAGAUACCCUGGUAGUCCACGCCGUAAACGAUGAGUGCUAAGUGUUAGGGGGUUUCCGCCCCUUAGUGCUGCAGCUAACGCAUUA
rnacentral:rRNA from 1 species